UUAAGUUAAGAAUUAGUUAAAUAUUUAAAAUAGAUAUUAAAAUAAAUUAAAUUGAUUUUAAAAUAAAAAACUAAUUUAAAUAAUAAAAUAGCAACAUAAAUAAUUUAAAAAUAAACAAAUAGAUUUUACUAAAAACAAAACUAAAGAAAUCGAUUUUUCAUCCGAUUUUUCCCUUCUUCUUCUUCUUCUUCUUCUUUUUCUUCUUCUUCUUCUUCUUCUUCUUCUUCUUCUUCUAUUAUAUAGAUCUAGGGUCGUCAAUUUCCAAGGGAGAUUUGGGGUUGUCAACUGGUGUGCUCGUUUCUUAAGGUCGAUUGAUGGUGAUGAACUGCUGGCUUGCUUUCAAAUAUGGCCCACUAUCCUCUUUGAUUGAGCUAUGAACUUGCAGAUCUGAAGCAUCGAUCAUGGGGCAUCGACGGAGGUGGGGAGAGAACUCAGAUUGAAUGGACUGACGACAAAGUUGUAGAACUAGAGCAUUGACCACAGAGAUAUACAAGGGUCUAACGACGGUGGGUAUGUGUUUUCAAGGGCUGACGACCAUGGAAGAGAAAUGAGGCUAUGUUUUUCAUGGAUUCUGGAAAGAAGUGGAAGGUGCCAACGAGAUAGAUUCGUGCGAUUUGGGACAAAUGAGAUAGAGAAAUCGAGGGACAAGGUAUUGGGUUGGGGUUGGAGUUGAGGGGCGUGAAAUCUGAAGUCGAAGAUCAAAGCGAGACCUAAGGUGAGCUAGUGAUGGGCUGAAGUUUGAGAUUUGGGGCUUGCUGGGGUGAGAUGAAUCUGGGCAGCUUUGCGUGGUGCUCUUCACCAUCGGAAUUCGCAGAUGUCAGUUGGUGGGGCGACGCACGAGAAGGACGGUCGAAGUUCAAGUGUUUUCUUGUUUACGAAUUGAUUUGGGGCUUGAAUGGCUCUUCAAUUUGUUGAGCUUAGGAUUCAUGGUUGAAUCUGGUUGCUGAUUGAAUAUAAGGAUGCCAAAUUUGAGAGACCUGCGAUUUUUUUAUUUUUGAUUUGUGAAUAUGAAGAUAUGAAAUCAAGAGGUUUUUUUGGAUAGAUUUUUUGUUUUCUAUUAUGAGUUCUAGGUUUUUGAAUUUGAUUUUGAUUUUUUAUUGUGAAUCUGUGUUUGAAUUUU